rnacentral:lncRNA from 1 species
AUAGAGUUGAAGUGUGAUUUAUAAGUCUGAUUAGUCAUUCGGCGUGUAUAACAUUUGAAGUUAACUCAGUAAGGACAAGUUAUCUGGGCGGUAUAGUGUAGGAUAGUAUUAAACUUGUCAGAACUACUAUUUGCCAAAAUUAUUAGAAAACUGUGUGUAGCUAUAAACUUAUAGGUUGAAAUAAAGCGUUCCUAAUUUUCUGCCUUAUAUCAGCUGUGUUAUGUUGAUGUGAUGUAACGCUUGCUUGCAUAGCGUCCAAAGUAUAAAGGCAAACUCAUUACAAAAAUAUUGAAUAGCCAUUAAGCCAACAAUGGUAGCAUUACUUUUAAAAAUCAUGUCAGUGCAACCAGUUUUU